GCAAGUGAACGGGGGGAUCGAUUCUUGGUCAUUUAGAAGGAAGUAAAAGUCGUAACAAGGUUUCCGUAGGUCACCUGCAGAAGGAUCAUUACCGUUUGUCUUUUGACAACACCACUGUGAACUGUACCAAGCAGGUGGGGUAAAAAGUAUGCAUACUUUUUUUAAAUGGUUUCGACCAGCCCCACUUGUGCAACCAUUUGUGUAUUUUUACGCACUUGUUUUAUCAUGUAUGUUAUUAACUAUGUUAGUAACGUGAAAUAGAAACGUGACAACUUCUAACGGUGGAUCUCUUGGCUCGUGCAUCGAUGAAGAACGUAGCCAGUUGCGAUAAGUAGUGUGAAUUGCAGAAUUCAGUGAAUCAUCGAAUCUUUGAACGCAAAUUGCGCUUUCUGGAUAUCCAGGGAGCAUGCCUGUCUGAGCGUCGUUUAAUAAUCUACACACCUUGGUGUGGUUAGGGAGCUCAUGCAAUCUCGGUUGCCUGUCUCUUGAUGUAUCUGAACCUGCAGAACACUUGUGUACUGCUUGGAAGGCUCAACUUGCUUCUGUCCUUCUAAAGUAAGUACUGAUAGAAUGUUUUAAAGGUUCUUUGAAUUCUUUGAAUUCACCUCUUGAUUUUUGACCUCAGAUCAGACAAGACUACCCGCUGAAUUUAAGCAUAUCAAU
rnacentral:rRNA from 1 species